AAGUAAAAGUCGUAACAAGGUUUCCGUAGGUGAACCUGCGGAAGGAUCAUUAAUGAAUGAGGCCCUCUGGCCUUGAUCCCACGCCUCUCUUGCUGUGCGCCUCUCGGGGCUGCACGCUUGAGAACACGUGAUUCUCACACCUGUGCACCUUUGGAAACGAGAAAUUCCAUUUCUCGAGUCUGCCCACACACUCUGUAUCAGUCACGAAAGUCAUCCAUUUCUUUAAAGAAAAAUACAACUUUCAACAACGGAUCUCUUGGCUCUCGCAUCGAUGAAGAACGCAGC
rnacentral:misc_RNA from 1 species